rnacentral:pre_miRNA from 1 species
GGCUACAACAGAGGACACAGGAGCUUUUCAGAACCCUCGUGUCUUGUGUUGCAGCCAG